rnacentral:tRNA from 1 species
AGUACGAUGCCUGAAUAAAGGGCUAUUUUGAUAGAAUAGAUAAUGCAUAGAUUAUGCUCUUACUA